rnacentral:rRNA from 1 species
AGCGAACAGACGAGGAGCUUGCUCCUCUGACGUUAGCGGCGGACGGGUGAGUAACACGUGGAUAACCUACCUAUAAGACUGGGAUAACUUCGGGAAACCGGAGCUAAUACCGGAUAAUAUAUUGAACCGCAUGGUUCAAUAGUGAAAGACGGUUUUGCUGUCACUUAUAGAUGGAUCCGCGCCGCAUUAGCUAGUUGGUAAGGUAACGGCUUACCAAGGCAACGAUGCGUAGCCGACCUGAGAGGGUGAUCGGCCACACUGGAACUGAGACACGGUCCAGACUCCUACGGGAGGCAGCAGUAGGGAAUCUUCCGCAAUGGGCGAAAGCCUGACGGAGCAACGCCGCGUGAGUGAUGAAGGUCUUCGGAUCGUAAAACUCUGUUAUUAGGGAAGAACAAAUGUGUAAGUAACUAUGCACGUCUUGACGGUACCUAAUCAGAAAGCCACGGCUAACUACGUGCCAGCAGCCGCGGUAAUACGUAGGUGGCAAGCGUUAUCCGGAAUUAUUGGGCGUAAAGCGCGCGUAGGCGGUUUUUUAAGUCUGAUGUGAAAGCCCACGGCUCAACCGUGGAGGGUCAUUGGAAACUGGAAAACUUGAGUGCAGAAGAGGAAAGUGGAAUUCCAUGUGUAGCGGUGAAAUGCGCAGAGAUAUGGAGGAACACCAGUGGCGAAGGCGACUUUCUGGU